rnacentral:rRNA from 1 species
AGCAGUCGCCACCGGGAAUACGAAGGGGGCUAGCGUUGUUCGGAAUUACUGGGCGUAAAGCGCGCGCAGGCGGUCUUCCAAGUCAGUGGUGAAAGCCCGGAGCUCAACUCCGGAACUGCCAUUGAAACUGUUAGACUUGAGGACGAGAGAGGUGAGUGGAAUUCCCAGUGUAGAGGUGAAAUUCGUAGAUAUUGGGAAGAACACCGGUGGCGAAGGCGGCUCACUGGCUUGUUUCUGACGCUCAGGCGCGAUAGCGUGGGGAUCAAACAGGAUUAGAUACCCCCGUAGUCCCUGUCUCUUAUA